CUCGGAUCUCCAGUUGUCUUUGCAAGGAGCACAUGGCACCUGGAAGGUUGGAGUGCUCAUGUAAGCAAACUGAACCCGUGCAAAAGACCUCAUGAGCUUUUUUCAGGUAAAAUAAACAGUCUCAAGAAGAUGAAGUUGCUCUCUGGUACAGUUGUCUGCUGUGGGGAAGCCUUCUCCCCUGGUACCUGUGGCCAUGUUGUAGUCAUCUUCUGCUUUUUGUAGUUCUGCACGGAGCUCUUUGUGGGCUUUCUGCAAUGCAGUGAGCUGAGCCAUCAGGGCCUGCUGCUCUGCUUCUGCCUGCUCUGGAAUGGCUCCUGGGGCGCUCGCUUCAUUGAGAACUUCAGUGGCAUCUUCACUUGAGAUCCCUUGUUUUGUUUCUGUGUGCUAUAAAGACAGAGAUAAGGACUUAAGCUUUACUAAAGCCUUAUGUGGAGAGUGUUCAGAACCGGGGUCUGCGUUUACUGUAAAUGACAGCUUGGCACUGCACAGCUUCAGUGUAUGGAACUAAAAUUGUUACCUCCUC